UAGAAGGUGGUGUAAUGGAAGCACUGAGAGUUUUGAGUUCUUCGGAAAGGGUUCAACCCCCUUCUUUCUAU
rnacentral:tRNA from 1 species